CGAUGAACCACUUCGGUGGGGAUUAGUGGCGAACGGGUGAGUAACACGUGGGCAAUCUGCCCUGCACUCUGGGACAAGCCCUGGAAACGGGGUCUAAUACCGGAUAAUACUCCUGCACUCAUGUGUGGGGGUUAAAAGCUCCGGCGGUGCAGGAUGAGCCCGCGGCCUAUCAGCUUGUUGGUGAGGUAAUGGCUCACCAAGGCGACGACGGGUAGCCGGCCUGAGAGGGCGACCGGCCACACUGGGACUGAGACACGGCCCAGACUCCUACGGGAGGCAGCAGUGGGGAAUAUUGCACAAUGGGCGAAAGCCUGAUGCAGCGACGCCGCGUGAGGGAUGACGGCCUUCGGGUUGUAAACCUCUUUCAGCAGGGAAGAAGCGCAAGUGACGGUACCUGCAGAAGAAGCGCCGGCUAACUACGUGCCAGCAGCCGCGGUAAUACGUAGGGCGCAAGCGUUGUCCGGAAUUAUUGGGCGUAAAGAGCUCGUAGGCGGCUUGUCACGUCGGGUGUGAAAGCCCGGGGCUUAACCCCGGGUCUGCAUUCGAUACGGGCUAGCUAGAGUGUGGUAGGGGAGAUCGGAAUUCCUGGUGUAGCGGUGAAAUGCGCAGAUAUCAGGAGGAACACCGGUGGCGAAGGCGGAUCUCUGGGCCAUUACUGACGCUGAGGAGCGAAAGCGUGGGGAGCGAACAGGAUUA
rnacentral:rRNA from 1 species